UGGCAGGCGUUUCCGUCAUUUGCAUGCAGUCGAACGAUGACUUCUGUGCUUGCACAGAAUGAUUAGUGGCGAACGGGUGAGUAACACGUGAGUAACCUGCCCUUAACUUCGGGAUAAGCCUGGGAAACCGGGUCUAAUACCGGAUACGACCUCCUGGCGCAUGCCAUGGUGGUGGAAAGCUUUAGCGGUUUUGGAUGGACUCGCGGCCUAUCAGCUUGUUGGUUGGGGUAAUGGCCCACCAAGGCGACGACGGGUAGCCGGCCUGAGAGGGUGACCGGCCACACUGGGACUGAGACACGGCCCAGACUCCUACGGGAGGCAGCAGUGGGGAAUAUUGCACAAUGGGCGAAAGCCUGAUGCAGCGACGCCGCGUGAGGGAUGACGGCCUUCGGGUUGUAAACCUCUUUCAGCAGGGAAGAAGCGAAAGUGACGGUACCUGCAGAAGAAGCGCCGGCUAACUACGUGCCAGCAGCCGCGGUAAUACGUAGGGCGCAAGCGUUAUCCGGAAUUAUUGGGCGUAAAGAGCUCGUAGGCGGUUUGUCGCGUCUGCUGUGAAAGCCCGGGGCUCAACCCCGGGUCUGCAGUGGGUACGGGCAGACUAGAGUGCAGUAGGGGAGACUGGAAUUCCUGGUGUAGCGGUGAAAUGCGCAGAUAUCAGGAGGAACACCGAUGGCGAAGGCAGGUCUCUGGGCUGUAACUGACGCUGAGGAGCGAAAGCAUGGGGAGCGAACAGGAUUAGAUACCCUGGUAGUCCAUGCCGUAAACGUUGGGCACUAGGUGUGGGGGACAUUCCACGUUUU
rnacentral:rRNA from 1 species